rnacentral:rRNA from 1 species
UACGGAGGGGGCGAGCAUUGUUCGGAAUUAUUGGGCGUAAAGGGCAUGUAGGCGGUUCGGUAAGUUAAAGGUGAAAUGCCAGGGCUUAACCCUGGAGCUGCUUUUAAUACUGCCAGACUAGAGACCGGGAGAGGAUAGCGGAAUUCCUAGUGUAGAGGUGAAAUUCGUAGAUAUUA